AAUGUGAUUCGGAUAUGAGUACGAUCAUUUCAUAUUCUUUUCCUUCCUUCAUCUGUGCAAAAGCAAAACCAAUGCUCAUCUAUUUCCAAAUAAAUUCCCAGUGCUACAGAAUUUGUGUGGUAGGCCGAAUGCGGAAAAAGCAACAGCGAUUACCACCAAUUGAAGAUAUACGUAUUGAAAAUAUUAAUCAAGCACCACCAACCUCACACGUUACAGCGACUCAACAAUCUGACCAUCAAUUAGUGUUGAACAUUUCGACUACUUCAGCGAUUAACCAAAAUUCGGUAAGACGUUGUCCGUUGGCAGAAUUACAGAACGAAUAUGAGCGACGAACGCUAGAAAGAAGUACAAACUUAAGCAAUAAAGACUCUUCUCUUCCACCAUACAGUUCUAAAGAUGAUAGUUUGCCAAGCUAUGACCAAGUCAUUAGAAAUGGAGCUGAUGAUAACAAUUUAGGGUUUAACAGAUGAAGUACAAAAUGAGACUUGGAGUAUUAAUACUUGAAGCAACAAAAAUUUUGGACACCCUGUUUAACUUGGAGUUUGAUCUUGACGAAAGCCUGUAAUAUGAAAAAAGUGAUUUUCUGAGUUCCAAUGGGGGAUAAAAAAUUUCACAAGUUUAUUUUUAAUCGACGUUAAUCUUUAUUUUAAGCAAAAAGUUGUUCUGCAAUAUGCCUCUAAAAUGCAUCGAUGUUUAUACAAACUUAAUUGUAAAAAAUUUGCCAAAAUGAAGGCAGCCAAAGUCAUAUACCAAAACAAGGAGACUGAAUAAUUUUUCCCACCUGUGCACAAAUUUUUCAUUUCAAUUACAUGUCCACAAGCACACCACAAACCAUUUCCUCAUAUGUACUCUAAUGCUCCUGUGCCAAAGCGCAACAUUAAAAAUAUCGAAUUCCUUGGCUGCCCGUUCUUGGUAUUUUCUUUCGAUCAAGUUUUCACGUUACGGACCCAACUAAUUUGUCGAUAAUUCUAGUGCAAAUUGAUUACGUAUCUUAUCGCUCUAUCCAAUGAUGUGAUUAAAUAAAAAUUAUAUUUCGAAAGAAUAGAAGCAGCUGAUUCAGUACGAGACAAAACGUAAAAGUGUUUUAGGUUUAUUGAGUUAAAAAAUGAAUGAGGAGGAUGAAAAAGGUGCUCAGAAACUUGCUGUAUUGAUUGUAUCGAUGCUUGUUUUUGCAACGGCAUGUGUAUCUUUUUCAUGUUACAGAAUUUGCAGGGAAGACCGGCUGCGUAAAAGACAACAGCGGAUAGCACCAGUUGAACCUGAGCCGAUUCGUAUUGAUAAUAUUAUAAAUCAAACGACACAAAGCACAGAUGUUACAACGAUGCAACAAUCUGACCAUGAAUUAGUGUUCGGCUCGCUUAACACUUCGACCACAACUACUCCGACGCUAGAACUAAGUACACACUUAGACGAUAAAGAAGCUUCACUUCCACCAUACAGUUCUAAAGAUGAUAGCUUACCGAGCUAUGAUCAAGUCGUUAGAAAUGGAGUUAAUAAAAGCAUUUAGGGCAUACCCUGAUUUGUGGUCUUUGUUCUGGACGAAUAACAUGGGAAACUUAUAAAAUUGGAUUUUUAAGCUACUAGUAACCAAAAGACAAGCAAUAAAAGUGAUG